CUGAGAGGAGAGUUGUGAGCAUCUUAGGUGAAGACCAGGGAGCCAGUCAAGACUAAAAUGGCAGGUAUCGUGAAGGAGUGAGAGCUGCACUACACAGGGCAGCCGCAAAGGAGAGCAACGCUUCGGCUAAGAACUAGAGAUGAUAAGGAGGCUUCCGGAAGCCCAGGGACUAGAAUGUGUUCGAGGAGCCAAUCGAGCAUCACUUCCUCCUGGAGAUCUUCCUUUGAAUCGAGCAUCACUUCCUCCUGGAGAUCUUCCUUUGAAGGUUACAGGUUACGACGUGAUUCCGCUGCCGUGUGCUUCCGGCUGCUGCAGUGCUUUCUCCAUCAUAGACAUUUCUUGUCUGUUUUUCAGUCACUUGGCAGUUUAUAAGCUCCAACAUAGUCAGGAUUUCUCUUGCUGCCUUAACCAUACUACAUAAGAAGUACCUAGUAAAUGUUUAAUCUGCCAUGAAGACCGCAUGGUAGAUAACUAGUGUCCUCAUAUUACAGGUGGAACAGUCCAUGACAUUUGCCUGCAUCUAAGUUCUGUGUGAUACAUCUUGAGCAGGUCUGUGAAGAGAGUUGUCCUUUUGCCAGUGCUGGGGUUCAGGUGGGCAAUGUGAUUGGCACUGUAAUGUAAUCUCACUUUGCGAAUUGAAAAGAAUAACCCUGGGUAUGAAAUCACUUUUGCAGGAGGUAGCCCCCCUCACUCCCCUAUGAGGCUCCACUCAAAGCAUCCCUAUUGUAGCAUGAAUGAGAUACUAACCCUACCAUGAUUUGAGGCCUCUGUUGGAUGCUCAUGAACACUCUGGUCUUUCUUAUUUUUUUCCAUUAUUUCUUCAUGUUGUGUAAGAGUUUACUUGUAGAUAGGAAAGUCUAUCCCAUAGAGAAGCUCCUAAAGCAAGAAGAUAAACAACUCAAAAAUAGCUCCAAAGUUCCUGAACUGACAAGAUUCACUAGGCUUCUUCCUUCCAGAGAAAGCAACAAAAGCUGCAAAGAAGGGCUGGAGAGAUGGCUCAGUGGUUAAGAGCCCUGACUGCUCUUCCAAAGGUCCUGAGUUCAAUUCCCAGCAAUCACAUAGUGGCUCACAACCAUCUGUAAUGGGAUCUGAUGCUCUCUUCUGAAGAAGCUUCAAAGAAGAUCUGAGACCAGCCCUGCUGCCUGGAAGAGGUUUAAGGCCAGAGUCUGGAAAGGACACUCACCAACCUGUUGAGUUCCUGGACAGAGACUAUGCAGUGAGCUCCAGGUUCCCAGCUUCGAGAGAUGUCACCAAUGCUGGGGUGGGGGUCGAGUCAUUUCUGCUCUUGUAAGUAACCUCUCACUCAUAUUUUUGCCAGUAACCCCAAUAAAACUCAUUGGUCCCCCAA